AGCUGACUCAUUGUGAAGCGG
rnacentral:misc_RNA from 1 species